GCCCUGGUGGUACAAUGGUUAAGUACUUGGCUGCUAACCAAAAUUUGGAGGUUCAAACCCAUCCGGUGGCU
rnacentral:tRNA from 1 species